ACCAAAUAGAUACCCGGGUACGUCCACGCCCUAAACGAUGCGAACUGGAUGUUGGGUACAUUACGGUACUCAGUGUCGAAAGCUAAACGCGUUAAGUUCGCCGCCUGGGGAGGUACGGUCGCAAGACUGAAACUCAAAGGAAUUGACGGGGGCCCGGCACAAGCGGUGGAGUAUGUGGUUUAAUUCGAUGCAACGCGAAGAACCUUACCUGGCCUUGACAUCUGUCGAAUCCUGCAGAGAUGCGGGAGUGCCGCAAGGAACGACAAGACAGGUGCUGCAUGGCUGUCGUCAGCUCGUGUCGUGAGAUGUUGGGUUAAGUACCCGC
rnacentral:rRNA from 1 species